rnacentral:lncRNA from 1 species
CACAAGAUCCGUAACUGGAACUGGUGAUGUGUUGCCCAAAUUGAAAAUCCUCAAUUGAGCUGGCCCCUUCUUCUUCCCUCCACUACCAGUGCUCUUCUCCGCCGUAUCCAAUGCUGCCACACACCCCUUCACGAUAUCAUCAAUGUAGGUAAAAUCCCGGGCAACCGUACCACGAUUUGGUGCCUCAAAGAUGGGAAUCGAUUUCUCCUUCAAAAUAUCCCGCGUGAAAAAGAAAUACGCCAUAUCAGGCCUCCCCCAAGGUCCGUAAACGGUAAAGAACCUCAACCCAGUAAGCGAAAGGCCAUAUAUAUGAUUAUAAGUAUGGGCAAUCUCUUCGCCAGCCUUCUUGGUGGCGGCAUACAGGCUGGCAGGCUGAUCAGUCCGAUCUCUCUCGGAAAAGGGUACCUUUGUAUUGAGUCCAUACACUGAACUCGAAGAAGCCCACACAAUUGCAGGCUGUGGAUUCGCAGAUUUACAGACUUCAAGAAGAUUAACAAGGCCAGCAAUAUUACUAUGAACAUAUGAACUUGGAUUUUCCAUUGCGUACCGAACACCAGCCUGAGCGGCCAAAUGCAUUACAUGGGUAAAUGCAACUACCUCGAAUAGUUUCUUGAGAAGCUUUGAAUCAUUGAUAUCACCCUCGACAAUGAAUACACCUGUACGCUCAAGAAGAGCUUGUCGGGCACGUUUCAAGGAGGGAUCAUAGUAGUCAUUGAAGUUAUCCAGCCCAAUAACGCCAUCGCCACGGCGCUUGAGUGCGGCGGAGACGUGGGUUCCGACGAAUCCGGCAGCGCCGGUGACGAGCACAGAGAUCCCAUUGCGAGCGCGCACUUUGGCCGAUGAUCGGACCCGCUUUUCCCAGGCAGGACCGCCCCAACUGUGGGUCCGUAGGGACCGCCGGGUAGGAUCGGACGGCAGAGAUGAAGAUGACGGCGAUAGGAACAAAACGAUGAAAAUCAAGCCCGAGAAGACGAAGGACCAAAAUGUGAGCUUGGCAAGAGAGGAGUGCCACCUGAGUCUCUUCUCCAUCUUGAACUUACCUGGGGUGGAAGGGAUAUUGUCAAGAUGGGACAUUUGCUUGAGCUGAGACUUUUUCCAGAGAAAAUGAUGGACUCUGAAACAAACCCAGAUUUUCUCUUCUUGUGAUUCCCCACAAUGCGAGUGAAAUUUAGAGGAAAGAAGAAAUCUAGGGUUUGGGUUCCAGUAAUGAACCUUGAGAAAUUCUUGCUGUUGCUGUUGCUGUUGAGGAAAACGAAAUAAAAGAAAAGGGUUUGCCCUCCUUCACCUCUCUACCUUACUGAGCAUACAUAUGCACAUAUGGAAUCUUGCAGUUUCUUGGAAGUAUUGGUUGGUGGUGGUCGUCACAUUUCGGGCUUAUAGUUCUACAGACGAAAGAUGGAGACAUGAUCGUGAAUCAAUGAUUAAGCAAAUACUGAUUUUCUAGAGAGAAAAUGACAGAAUUUAAUGGAGAGAAACAUGAAUGUGUUUGAUGAAUUUAAAAUGAAGUAGUGGAUUGGGAUCAAUGAGAGUCAAAGCAACUACAAAAACAGUGUGGAAUAGCUCAGAUUCAAGAGAGAUUUGUUUAUAUAUUUUAUAUCAAGCAAUGGUUUCAUUAUGAGCUUAAAAUCAUACCAAAAAAAAGCAAAAAAAAAAAAAAAAAACAGUACUUAACAAUGGACAAAUGUUGUAAAACGACAAAUCUAUCUGUCUUUUUUUUUUUUGCCACUUUGAAUUGACAGGGGCCCAUGACUUUUGACAUCUCCAUUUUUAAACUCUCCUUAUUUAACAUUAUUUUGUGUGGGGCUUAUUAUCUUCCGCGUGAUGAAGAUGGUGUGGAUGAGAUUUCAAGUUAUUAUGAACCUUGUUUGGCAACUAUUUGAAGAAGAGUUUUCUACUUUAUUUAUUUAUUUAUUUUAAUAAUAAAAAAAUAUUAUACUUUUUUUUUUAAUGUCAUAAUAUUUUUGAGUUGUUUUCAUUUAUUUAUUUUAAUAAUUAUUUAAAAAUAAUAAUUAUAUAAAUAUAUAAAAUAAUUAAAAUCAAAAUACGGUAUAUGAAAAUUAUUUUAAGUUUUCAAAUAAAUUUUUAUUCUAUAAAACAUUAAAAAUAAAAUUUAAAAACUAUUCCUAAAAAUUAUUUUUUUAAACUGUUUUAAAAAAAUAAUUACCAAAAAAAGAGAUAUUCAUUUGUCUCUCAUUCCCUGUACAUUCCCACUUUGUAAAUAUCAUAAUAUAUUACAGAUAAGACACAAAAUAUUACCUAUAAUUCAUAUUUAAUAUUGAGACCGAGUUGUUAUAAAGAUAUGUAUAAUCUAAAAUAUUCUUGUUAAUUAAAUAUGAUAUUAAUAAAAAUAAUAAUAUCAUAAGGUAUUAUAUCCAAUAGAAUGUAUGUUAUAUAUUUGAAUUUAUAAAAUAUCGAAUAAGAAAACAUAUUAUAUUUUGAUAAGUAUAUAAAAAAUAUAUUGUUUCCAACAUUGUUAUUAAAAAAUAUGAAACAUUUGUCAUGUUCAGUAUUACUUAAAAAUCAUUCUAUAAUCUAUUAUUUAGUAAUUAAUUUUUUAUUUUUUAUUAAAAUAUUCAAGAUUAAAAUAUUUUUAUAUAUUAGUAUUAUUUUAUAUUUUAAUAUACGUAUUUUUUUUUAAAAUUAAAAUUUUACUUUUUUGACCCUAUUAAUGCUCCAAGCACUGUCAUUUACUCCUAGAGGAGCAAGUACAAAAUGUGAUAAUUCUACCUCAUAUCAUAGUCAAAAAGUCAUAUUAAGACAUGAAGUUUAGGUAAAAAAUAAUGACCCUCAAGGCUCACACAAUGAGAAAGCAUGAAUACAUUCAUCCACAUUCUUAUUAUAAGGUACUCUGUGUCAAAAAGAGAAUGUCUAAUUCUCUAAGGGAGAAUGGAAUGGUGCACCCUCGCGCAGUUCAAAGAUGAGUUUAUGUGUGCAAUUUUCAAUACAUAGAAGAUAUUUUUCCAAAUAUCCUUUUCCAUCAAACAAUAUAUGGCAAUCAUAUAGUGUGCACCCAUAUCCUAGUCCACGCAAGACUUGGUUCAUAAGGGUUUUCUUUCUUCCUAAUGAAAAUCUUAAUGUUAUCCUCCAUUGUGAGUAUACUAUCUAUCCCUCCUAGCCACUACAAAUACCAACAAACGCAUUUAAUUACCAAGCCAUCACCAGCAACACCUCUCCAUUGAUAGCAUUGCAACAAGUAAUGAAAAUUCUUAUAUUUGGUUUCUUCACUCUUAAAGAAUCAUGACGUGCAAGUGAGUGCAAAGCAAAGCUUGUUCUACAAGAAGUUCUGAAAGUUCACAGUUCCAGAUACAUGAAUGCUGGAAAGAAUCAAGGAAGCCCCUAAUGCUAGAGACUAGAAUCUUGGAAUUUUCUUCAUUUCCUUUUCUUCUGACAUUUCAGAUAUGAGUAGGAGAACCUUAUGAAACCGGUCCAUUUGGUUUAGCUUAAGCAUCUGGAUUGUCUUAUAGCAAUUCAGUUGACAGUAAUAUUUGGUAAGAAAUACUUGCAUUAUGGGUGCUUCAUAGGUUUGGCAUAAUAGAGGAAGAGGGACUAUUUGUGGCCUGAUGUCACCGGCCCAGACUUAAAACUAGGAACAGUAGCAUUUGAAUUUCUCAUGGUGCUUGAUAGGAGUAUUGUAUUCUUAGUAGCAAUUUCUCUUUAUUUUUUUUAACUCUAUAGCUUGGUGUUUUGAACAACCCAUGUAUUGAUUUUUCCUCCCGGAUUGAAACAUCCCAUUUAUCUGUCCUUCAUUUCAAAUAUAUUCCACGAUGGGAAUGAAAUCUGAUUUAUGCAAACCCAAACAUCACUGUUGUUUAGGACAUUACAAAUCAAAUAGGUUGUUUGUAGCUGCUAAAAUAUAUGCCCGAUGUGAAGAGAUAUUAGAUUCCAAUGACAGAAGGAACAAGUUCAGAGCACAUGCAUAGACAAAAAGAUGAUGUCAAAAGGAUUCUAAACGUAUACAACUAAGAGGAGUGAUACCAUGUAUAUGUUUGUAUUAACACAGCAGAAGAGGCGGCCUCCUUGGUAAGCCGCCUGGUUUGUCUUUGGAAUCACCUCACCUUGUGACAUGAAAGCAACUUUCGAUGAUCACAUCUCAAACUUUCUAUCAACUUUCCAUGGUAAAAAGCUAAGGUUCAUGCAGCCAUGCCACCAAAAUAGUGAAUGUGGAGCUACCAGUUCCAUAUAGAUUGUAAGGGAGAAAGAUCUAGUAAGGAGAAUACCCCCACCAUUCCUAAAAGCCUGUUCUAACCAAUAUUGCCAGAAAAAUGCUUACACAAAAACUAACCCACCACCCUAAAGGCUGUAUACCAAACUAUCAGGUUCCAUCUUCUUCCACAAAAUUAAUCAAUUAAGGACACACAGGACUACAAGCUGUCCCAGACGAGCUUGCAGAAUAGGAGGGUGUCAUUUAGAAUUUUAUGUCAAAAAAGAGAAAAAAAUACCCACCAGAAGGAUUAUAGAAGACCAUGUGUAUGUCUUUCUAGUCUUCAAGAUUUAAAAACCAUCCCCAAAUCAGCCAUGACUUAGAACCUCUACAUGUUCACACAGUUUACAAAGCAGAAAUUAGAACCAGGAAUACAUCUCUGUAGUCCAGAGCAACUCUCAACUAGAGCUCUAUCUUCGUCAUACUUAACCACAGUACAACAAUUGUCCUUUCUGUGUAACAAACACAAGAAUUUAUAAAUUUCUAUAGUAUUUCCUGAAUGAAAUAUGCUACUAAACAACUGGAAGCACUCAAAUGUUAUAAAAGAAAACAUGAGAAAACAUGAGACACUGAGAAAAAAGGACUAAACCACAUAUCCCAUAUGACAAUUAAGGGUUGGCUAGAUACAUGUAACUCAAUUUUGACACCAAAAUAAUUACAGCAACCUAGGAAGAGUCAAAAUAAGCCCCUUCAAUCACUCCAUGCUGUUGAUACUCCAUUUGAGAAUAACCUUCAAGAACACUUAAGGCUACAUCCACAAAAGGUUGUUGAGGGCAAGGGGAAAAACUAAAAUUUUUGAAGAAGUCGGUACCAGGUCAAGACCAGUGUAAGUUGUGAAAGAAGGACAUAUACAAAUCCAUAGUUGCAGAAGUUCAACAAAUCCAUAAUUGCAAAGUUAAUUUGAACUCAAAAUCAAUAACUCCAACUUUUAUUCAUAACCAAUCAUUUGAUUCAGAAAUUAAACAAAACAACUUCUGCCAAACAACUAUGAUUGGACAGCCAAAUUAUCAUACUUCCUAAUACCUUUCAACUUGUCAGCAUAUUUUGUCUGGAUAAAAAACAGAUAAAUCUUAAGAAAGUGAGAAUGGGAAGUGCAACAGUUCAGUAAUCAUUCAUUUAAGAAGCCAACAGGAAAGACGGGAUUGUGGCCUUCUGCAGUUGUAUUUCACAAGUAGGCUGGUUCUUAAGGUUCAAGAGAUUAGCCAUGGCAAAUGAAAUUAUUGAUGCACUCUACCUUUUUCAACAUAUUCAAUUAAACCACGAAGAAAAUAGAAAUCAAGUUAUCAUGUGCUAAUUUUAUUCAAAUUGCACAGAGAUGAUACAUGUCCACCAAUCAGCAUAUUAUGAUCUAUUGGCCAUUAAUUCUAAAAUGCUGAAACUACAACAAUUACAUCACCCACUUUCCACCUUCCAACUCCAACCCCUCUUUCCAAACCCCAAAAAGGAAAGGAAAAGGAUGGUUCAAGUUUUCUUUCAAUACAGCUCAGGACUCGAAGUACCCAGAAAACAAUAUCCACCAACAACAAAAUAUCCUCCCUCCUUAUACGACAACAUGUAGAUAUAUGAAAAGAAAAUAAUUGAUAAUUGGGCAAAGAACAGAGAGACUUGAAAACAAUCAUAAGAAUCAUAAUGAACAAGAAUGCAAAGGAUCCUACCACACGGUUCAAAGAAUGUUUUUACUGAGCACUCUUCUCCCCUGCUGAAUAGUAUUUGAUGUACCACCUAACAAAUUUCUUCAAACCUGUUUGCAGAUCUGUUGUGGGCUUGUAUCCGAGCUCCCUUUGAGCCAAGCUGAUGUUGGCAUGGGUAAACUGCACAUCCCCAUUCCUUGGCAUCUUCAUCAUCGUUCUUUUUGCCUUCACCUUCAAGAGUCUCUCCAAAAUGCUCACAAGAUCCGUGACUGGAACCGGUGAUGUGUUGCCCAAAUUGAAAACCCUCAAUUGGGCUGGCCCCUUCUUCUUCCCACCACUACCAGUGCUCUUCUCCGCAGUAUCUAAUGCUGCCACACAUCCCUUCACGAUAUCAUCAAUGUAGGUAAAAUCCCGGGCAACCGUCCCAUGAUUUGGAGCCUCAAAUAUGCGAAUCGAUUUCCCUUUCAAAAUAUCCUUCGUGAAAAAGAAAUACGCCAUAUCAGGUCUUCCCCAUGGUCCAUAAACGGUAAAGAACCGCAACCCAGUAAGCGAAAGGCCAUAUAUAUGAUUAUAAGUAUGGGCAAUCUCUUCGCCAGCCUUCUUGGUGGCGGCAUAGAGACUGGCAGGCUGAUCCGUCCGAUCUCUCUCGGAA